rnacentral:rRNA from 1 species
UACCAGCUCUCCGAGUUGUAGGGAUGAUUAUUGGGCUUAAAGCGUCCGUAGCUGGCUUAGCAAGUCUCCUGUUAAAUUCAGCGACCUAAUCGUUGAGCCGCGGGAGAUACUACUAGGCUAGGAGGCGGGAGAGGUCGACGGUACUUUCGGGGUAGGGGUGAAAUCCUAUAAUCCCGGGAGGACCACCAGUGGCGAAGGCUGUCGACUAGAACGCGCUCGACGGUGAGGGACGAAAGCUGGGGGAGCGAACCGGAUUAGAUACCCGGGUAGUCCCAGCUGUAAACUAUGCGGGCUAGGUGUUGGGGUGGCUACGGGCCACUUCAGUGCCGCAGGAAGCCAUUAAGCCCGCCGCCUGGGGAGUACGGCCGCAAGGCUGAAACUUAAAGGAAUUGGCGGGGGAGCACCACAAGGCGUGAAGCUUGCGGUUC